rnacentral:rRNA from 1 species
GAUGAACGCUGGCGGCGUGCUUAAUACAUGCAAGUCGAGCGGACAGACCAGGAUCUUGCGCCUCUGACGUUAGCGGAGGACGGGUGAGUAACACGUGGAUAACCUACCUGUAAGACUGGGAUCACUUCGGGACACCGGAUAUAAUCCCGGAUAAUAUCUUGAACCGCAUGGUGCAAUAGUAAAAUACGGUUGUUCGGUCUCUUCUAGCUGCUUCUGGGCCGCAUUAGAUAGUUGGUAAGUUCACGGCUUAUCAAGGGUACGAUGCGUAGCCGACCUGAGAGGGUGGUCGGCCGCACUGGAACGUGGACACGGUCCAGACUCCUACGGGAGGCAGCAGUAGGGAAUCUGCGGCAAUGGGCGAAAGCCUGACGGAGCAACGCGGCGUGAGUGAUGAAGGUCUUCGGAUCGUGAUACUCUGUUAUGAGGGAAGAACAGAUGUGUACGUAACUAUGCACGUAGUGACGGUACCUAAUCAGAAAGCAACGGCUAACUACGUG